CAGCAGCCACGGUAAUACAGAGGGUGCAAGCGUUAAUCGGAAUUACUGGGCGUAAAGCGCGCGUAGGUGGUUUGUUAAGUUGGAUGUGAAAUCCCCGGGCUCAACCUGGGAACUGCAUCCAAAACUGGCAAGCUAGAGUAUGGUAGAGGGUGGUGGAAUUUCCUGUGUAGCGGUGAAAUGCGUAGAUAUAGGAAGGAACACCAGUGGCGAAGGCGACCACCUGGACUGAUACUGACACUGAGGUGCGAAAGCGUGGGGAGCAAACAGGAUUAGAUACCCCAGUAGUCCCUGUCUCUUAUAU
rnacentral:rRNA from 1 species